rnacentral:piRNA from 1 species
UGGCCAGAAGAUGCUGCUGACACCAUACAG